GACAGAGGUCCCGAGCGUUAGGCGGAAUCACUGGGCUUAAAGCGUGUGUAGGCGGAUGCCUAAGUACCUUGUGAAAUCCCACGGCUCACCCGUGGAACUGCUUGGUAUACUGGGUGUCUUGAGCCACUUAGGGGCUACCGGAACAAAUGGUGGAGCGGUGAAAUGCGUAGAUAUCAUUUGGAACGCCAAUGGUGAAAACAGGUAGCUGGGAGUGUGCUGACGCUGAGACACGUAAGCCAGGGGAGCAAACGGG
rnacentral:rRNA from 1 species